UGAACGCUGGCGGCGUGCCUAAUACAUGCAAGUCGAGCGAACAGACGAGGAGCUUGCUCCUCUGACGUUAGCGGCGGGCGGGUGAGUAACACGUGGAUAACCUACCUAUAAGACUGGGAUAACUUCGGGAAACCGGAGCUAAUACCGGAUAAUAUAUUGAACCGCAUGGUUCAAUAGUGAAAGACGGUUUUGCUGUCACUUAUAGAUGGAUCCGCGCCGCAUUAGCUAGUUGGUAAGGUAACGGCUUACCAAGGCAACGAUGCGUAGCCGACCUGAGAGGGUGAUCGGCCACACUGGAACUGAGACACGGUCUAGACUCCUACGGGAGGCAGCAGUAGGGAAUCUUCCGCAAUGGGCGAAAGCCUGACGGAGCAACGCCGCGUGAGUGAUGAAGGUCUCCGGAUCGUAAAACUCUGUUAUUAGGGAAGAACAAAUGUGUAAGUAACUAUGCACGUCUUGACGGUACCUAAUCAGAAAGCCACGGCUAACUACGUG
rnacentral:rRNA from 1 species